AUGGACCUAGAGAAUCGUGCUGCGCUCUGUGAUUCGGUCCAGUCCAAGGAACCCCACGUGUCUGGAGUGGAAGGAGGCUCGGUGACAUUCAGCUGUUCCUACAAUACCACCGAUUCUAGCGGCGUCUAUCUCUAUUGGUACCGUCAGUCUCCUAACCGAGCUCCGCAGUACAUUCUGCGGAGGGGGACAAAGCUGUACGCGUCUGACAGCGAAAAUGCGUAUUUCGCCCAGGAGAGGUUUUCUUCCCAGGCUGAGGGCAGCGCUACAAUCCUGAACAUCACAGCCCUGGAGCUGGCAGACACCGCGGUGUAUCUCUGCGCCUUGCAACGGGCACAGUGA